AGCGAACGCUGGCGGCAGGCUUAACACAUGCAAGUCGAGCGGACCUUUCGGGGUCAGCGGCGGACGGGUGAGUAACGCGUGGGAACGUGCCUUCCGGUUCGGAAUAACCCUGGGAAACUAGGGCUAAUACCGGAUACGCCCUUAUGGGGAAAGGUUUACUGCCGGAAGAUCGGCCCGCGUCUGAUUAGCUAGUUGGUUGGGUAACGGCCUACCAAGGCGACGAUCAGUAGCUGGUCUGAGAGGAUGAUCAGCCACACUGGGACUGAGACACGGCCCAGACUCCUACGGGAAGCAGCAGUGGGGAAUAUUGGACAAUGGGCGCAAGCCUGAUCCAGCCAUGCCGCGUGAGUGAUGAAGGCCUUAGGGUUGUAAAGCUCUUUUAUCCGGGACGAUAAUGACGGUACCGGAGGAAUAAGCCCCGGCUAACUUCGUG
rnacentral:rRNA from 1 species